AACUUGAUUGAGAACCCUUUAUGAUCUCCUUCUCCCUCAAUAACCCUCUUUUUUUUCUUUGGAUUUCUUCUUCUCCACCCGCAGCUUAAUUGAAGAUUUAUUUUUCUCCACCCGCAGCUUGAUUGAAGAUUUCUUCUCUUCACAUAGUUUGAUUUUAGAUUUUAUUUUCCUUCCCUUUUGAUUUAGGAUAAUCGACAUCCAAAACCUUGGAUCAUGUGAGGCACAUGCUCUGACAUUUUUGGCGCUACAACUAAUACUCUACUCACAACUGAAAGUAAGAGUACUAUUAUCAUUUCAUAAAAGUUAGAUAUCAUGUGAUGAUCAUGUGAUACCAUUCCGUUAACAGAGAUAGACAGUAGAGCCAUAUUAAUACACUCCGUU
rnacentral:lncRNA from 1 species